UACGUAGGAGGCAAGCGUUGUCCGGAUUUAUUGGGCGUAAAGCGCGCGCAGGCGGUCCUUUAAGUCUGAUGUGAAAUCUUGCGGCUCAACCGCAAGCGGUCAUUGGAAACUGGGGGACUUGAGUACAGAAGAGGAAAGCGGAAUUCCACGUGUAGCGGUGAAAUGCGUAGAGAUGUGGAGGAACACCAGUGGCGAAGGCGGCUUUCUGGUCUGUAACUGACGCUGAGGCGCGAAAGCGUGGGGAGCAAACAGG
rnacentral:rRNA from 1 species